CAAUAGCGUAUAUUUAAGUUGUUGCAGUUAAAAAGCUCGUAGUUGGAUUUCGGGUGGGACGCAGCGGUCUCGCAUUGCGUUUGUACUGCUGCAGCCCUCCUUCUUGCCGGGGGCGGCCUCUCGGACUUCACUGUCUGGGGGUCAGAAUCGGCGAUGUUACUUUGAGUAAAUUAGAGUGUUCAAAGCAAGCUUACGCUCUGAAUAUAAUAGCAUGGGAUAACACGACAGGACUCUGGCCUAUCGUGUUGGUCUAUAGGACCAGAGUAAUGAUUAAGAGGGACAGUCGGGGGCAUUCGUGUUCCGUUGUCAGAGGUGAAAUUCUUGGAUUUACGGAAGACGAACAUCUGCGAAAGCAUUUGCCAAGGAUGUUUUCAUUGA
rnacentral:rRNA from 1 species